GGCAUGGUAGCCGAGUGGGUAAAGCGCUUUACUUGGUACGGAAUAUCGAUGGUUCGAAUCCAUCCCCGAACA